rnacentral:rRNA from 1 species
GACGAACGCUGGCGGCGUGCUUAACACAUGCAAGUCGAACGGUGAAGGGGUCUGCUUUUGUGGGCCCUGGAUGAGUGGCGAACGGGUGAGUAACACGUGAGUAACCUGCCCCCUUCUUCUGGAUAACCGCAUGAAAGUGUGGCUAAUACGGGAUAUUCUGGGUCUGUCGCAUGAUGGGUCUGGGAAAGAUUGCGCCUUUGGGUGUUUUUGGUGGGGGAUGGGCUCGCGGCCUAUCAGCUUGUUGGUGGGGUGAUGGCCUACCAAGGCGGUGACGGGUAGCCGGCAUGAGAGGGUGGACGGUCACACUGGGACUGAGACACGGCCCAGACUCCUACGGGAGGCAGCAGUGGGGAAUAUUGCACAAGGGGCGCAAGCCUGAUGCAGCGACGCCGCGUGAGGGAUGGAGGCCUUCGGGGUGUAAACCUCUUUCGCCAGUGAAGCAGGCCUGCUCCUUGUGGGUGGGUUGACGGUAGCUGGAUAAGAAGCGCCGGCUAACUACGUG